UACGUAGGGUGCGAGCGUUUAAUCGGAAUUACUGGGCGUAAAGCGUGCGCAGGCGGUUCGUUAUGUCCGAUGUGAAAGCCCCGAGCUUAACUUGGGAAUGGCAUUGGAAACUGGCGGCUGGAGUGCGGCAGAGGGGGUGGAAUUCCACGUGUAGCAGUGAAAUGCGUAGAGAUGUGGAGGAACACCGAUGGCGAAGGCAGCCCCUGGGCUAACCACGUGACGCCUCAUGCACGAAAGCGUGGGGAGCGAACAACGG
rnacentral:rRNA from 1 species